rnacentral:rRNA from 1 species
UACGUAGGGAGCAAGCGUUGUCCGGAAUUAUUGGGCGUAAAGAGCGUGUAGGCGGCCCGAUUAGUCCGCUGUGAAAGUCCAGGGCUCAACCCUGGAAUGCCGGUGGAUACUGUCGGGCUAGAGUCCGGAAGGGGCGAGUGGAAUUCCUGGUGUAGCGGUGAAAUGCGCAGAUAUCAGGAGGAACACCAAUGGCGAAGGCAGCUCGCUGGGACGUGACUGACGCUGAGGCGCGAAAGCGUGGGGAGCAAACAGG